UACGUAGGGGGCGAGCGUUGUCCGGAGUUACUGGGCGUAAAGCGCACGCAGGCGGUCUGCUAAGUUUGGAGUGACAGUUGGUGGCUUAACUACCAAAGUGCUUCGAAAACUGACAGACUUGAGGGCUUCAGAGGGACACGGAAUUCCGGGUGGAGUGGUGAAAUGCGUAGAGAUCCGGAGGAACACCAAAGGCGAAGGCAGUGUCCUGGGGAGUACCUGACGCUCAGGUGCGAAAGCCAGGGGAGCGAACGGG
rnacentral:rRNA from 1 species